UCCCGUCUCUGGAGACUCCGAGCCCGGCGGGCCCCACGCUCCACGCGAGCAGAAUUCCCGCAGGUCUCCCGCCCGGGUGGCCAGAGGCGGUGGCGGGGAUGCCGGGCUCCGGGAGGCGCUCGGGCUCCGAGAAGCCGCUUAGCCCCGCGCUCCUCCCUCCUCAGUGCCGCGGCCGGCGGGCCGGGAUUCCCGCGGGUCUAGGCGGCUGCGAGCUGCAGCCGGCGCGGGUCCCCGGCUCGGCUGCGGUGCGGUUGCUCACCUUGCCCGCCUCGCCUCCCACGGCUUCCAGCGGGCGCGGAGCUCUCCUCUGCGCGCCUCCCCGGCCCGUCUCGGUUUCCCUUCUUCGUCCUCUAGACCACCCAGCACAACUCUGUCGGCCUCCGCGGCCCUGAGAGAGCAUCCGGCGCCGGCAGAGUCGGACCAGCUCGACUUCACGCCUCUCAUGGGCUCUCCUCCAGGGUACCGUGGCCCAGAUGAGAAACUGAAUCUCCAGGAAGUUAAGUGACUUGCCCAAGACCCGCGGAGCUGGGAUUCAAGCCUGGAUCUGCCUGACCCUUUCUGCUAUAUCAUGCUGCUCUCCCAGACACUGGACAGGAUCUCUCGUGACUCUUGAAGACAUGAUGGAUGGUGUAAGGGCUCAGAAGGGGCUCCCAUCUGAAGGACAACUAUGGAAUGUUCUUAUAGGUGGGAACAGGUCAGUCUGUAAAGGUCUUUAGAGGCUGCUGUGGGCCUCUGCCUGCUCCCCAGUUCUGACCAGUAUAUGCCAACGACCAGAAGAUGCAGAGCAUGCAGGCCUUUGACAGUAGGAAGUAGGGGGGAUAGAGAAAAAGGACAGAGAAAAGCUCAGAUAGCAGGAUCAGGAUCUAGGGAGAUCUCCACAGACUGGAGUGAAGAGGUGAACUUCGCAGGAUGAAAUGUCAUGAGGAUAAAUGCUGGGGCCCAUCUUGCUGACAGGAAAAAAAUUGUAGAGAGGAACAGCAGCUUACAAGAAAGGGAUUUAGGA